rnacentral:rRNA from 1 species
UACGUAGGGUGCAAGCGUUGUCCGGAAUUAUUGGGCGUAAAGAGCUCGUAGGCGGUCUGUCGCGUCUGCUGUGAAAUCUCCGGGCUUAACUCGGAAAGGUCAACUGAUACUGUGCGACUAGAGUGCGGAAGGGGCAACUGGAAUUCUUGGUGUAGAGGUGAAAUUCGUAGAUAUCAAGCAGAACACCUGCGGCGAAGGCGGCCUUCUGGACGAUGACUGACGCUGAGACGCGAAAGCGUGGGGAGCGAACAGG